CGCACUCGUAGCUCAGCUGGAUAGAGUACUCGGCUACGAACCGAGCGGUCGGGUUCGAAUCGCCGAGUGCGCC
rnacentral:tRNA from 1 species